rnacentral:lncRNA from 1 species
CCGAGAUCGCGCCACUGCAUUCCAGCCUGGGCGACAGAGCGAGACUCCAUCUCAAAAAAAAAAACAAACAAAAAAAAACAGUUAAAUUCGGCAUUUUUGCAGCACCAUUUCUUUGACGUGUCUUUUUUAAAGGACCCGGAGCCGGAAGUGCUUACCUUUUCCCUGCCAGGACCCAGAGGUUACCUCCCAUCAGCACCGGCGCUCUCUUGUCCACUGUCUCUUUCUCGGCGCUUCUUUUUCUGGCUCGAAGGCAUCAUGGCCGCCCUCAGACCCCUUGUGAAGCCCAAGAUCGUCAAAAAAAGAACCAAGAAGUUCAUCCGGCACCAGUCAGACCGAUAUGUCAAAAUUAAGACAGGAAAACUCAGAGGUGCUGAGAGCCGUGUCUGCAGCUGUGCUCGCCAUCUCAGUAUCUACACAGUCCCCUCGCAUCCCAUUGGUGUCUCCAUUUCUUGGGAGUGAGAAUGGCAGGGGUGCCUGCAUUCCUAAUGGCUAAAGCCAAGAGCUCCUGGUUUUUCCCACCAAAAAAGCAUGUAAGGAAAUAGUGAAGUCCUGUUACCAAAGGCAACUACUGUGUGGCA